rnacentral:rRNA from 1 species
UACGGAGGGGGCGAGCGUUAUUCGGAAUUAUUGGGCGUAAAGGGCGCGUAGGCGGCCCUGUAAGUCAAAGGUGAAAUCCCUCGGCUCAACUGAGGAACUGCCUUUGAAACUGCAGGGCUUGAGGCCGGGAGGGGGUAGCGGAAUUCCCAAUGUAGCGGUGAAAUGCGUAGAUAUUGGGAGGAACACCAGUGGCGAAGGCGGCUACCUGGACCGGUUCUGACGCUGAGGCGCGAAAGCGUGGGUAGCGAACAGG